GGAGGAAUUUCUUCUGACGGUUGAGAGUCUUUGGAGCUCCUUGCCACAGAGAGCUGUGGGGACAGAGCCUUUAUGUAUAUUUAAGGCUGAGAGAGCUAAAUAAGGGUUAUGUGGAAAGGGCACGAAAGUGUACGUGAGAAAUGUUGAUCAGCCAUGAUCCUAUUGAAUGGUGAAGCAGACUCGAGGGGCCAACGGUCUACUCCUGACCCUCUUUAGUAUAGUUUAAGAAUCAAGUGGAUGAAAAAGAGUUGACACAGUCAGCCCGAUUUUAUACCACAAUUAUCACCAUUUAAGUUCUCUGGCUCUUACUUGCACUCAUGCUGUCAUAACGUAGAUUUAGUUAGAAUGAUUGCAGGGAUGAAAGACUUCAGUUCUAAAAAUAGAUUGGAAAAGUGAGGAAUAUUCCUCUUAGAAGAAAUGGCUGAGAGGAGAUUUUGAUAGACAUUUUCAAAAUCAUGUGUUUUGGAAAGAUUAGGGAUAAAAGGAUUGAGAACGAGAGAGCACAGAUUUGAAAUAAUUAGUAAAAGAGGCAGAAGUGUAUCAAAGGCUUUUUCAUGCAGCAAGUGGUUGAGGUGCAUUGCUUGGGAUUGUAGUGGAGGAAAGAUUAAUUGAAGUAUUAACAAGGAAUUUGAACAGUUGCCUAGACAGGAUAAAUAUAUUUUAUAGGGUUCAUAGGUUGUAGGCAGGGAAUGGCAGUAGUUCAUUUGGAGAGCUAGUCCAAAUGGCCUCCUUUCUGUUUUGUGACAAUUCUGUGAUUCCUUGGUAGUCACUUGUCAUUUCUUUAACAGUAAAGAAACAACAUCCUGUAUCUAUUUGUUUAUGAUUAAUUUAUUGCUGUUGUUACUGUACAUGUAUGCAUGUGUAGUAAUUAUUGCACCGUUAUUCUCUUGUGCAUGUUGCAUAACUUGUUGGCACUAUUGAGGAUUGUUGAAAGCCACAAACCUCCCACCACUGCAUACUUGCCACACUUCUUUUUGGGCUGGGAUUUUUACCUACACUGAAGUUUGUAAAUCCCAGGGAGCCAUUUUAUAUCAAGCAUUCCAAUUAUUCAUUGCGUGCUCAACACUACAUCAAUCUACCUGUCCGGUUCAAACCAGAGUCAGACGGCAGAUUCGAGGCACUGCUCGUGAUACAAACAGAUACAUGUGGAAGUCUCCCUAUUCGACUUAUUGGUGAAGCUAUUAGAAAAGAGUAAAUGAAAGUUAAUUUUGUUAAAUUAAUUGUCUGGUUGUACUUUAAGAUCUGCCUCCAAGAGGGGGAAGUUCCACAGGAAACAGUGUUAUGUAGAAUUGUACAGUAAUAAAUGGAAAAUGUACCUUUCAUGUACAAAUUUGCAAAUUAUACAUUUUAUAAAUGAAGAUAUUUAUGCACUGGUGCCACUUAACAUCAGCAUAGUGACUUUUAGAAAGAGGGAAAGUAUAUUAGUACAUAUUUGUAGUAUACAAAAUAACAAUGCCAGUUUACUAUGGGAAGGAGCUGUAAAAGCUUGUCUUUUCCUUCAUUAUUGUAUAAUUUGAAAUAUUUUGCACAAGCUUUAUUUUUGUGGCUAUUUUGUGUACAUUUGAAAUAGUUUUUAUGCUGUAUGUUUGAAAUAAAGUUAGUAUGGGCAAUUCA